GUCUUUUUGAUCAUAAUUUAAAGUCUAACCUGCCCACUGAAUUUUUUGAAGGGCCGCGGUAUUUUGACUGUGCAAAGGUAGCAUAAUCAUUAGUCUUUUAAUUGGAGGCUUGUAUGAAUGGUUGGAUGAGGUAUUAACUGUCUCAAUUUAAUAAAUAAUAGAAUUUUAUUUUUAAGUUAAAAAGCUUAAAUAUAAUUAAAAGACGAGAAGACCCUAUAGAUCUUUAUAAUUUAUUUUAUAAUAAUUUUUUAGGUAAAAUUUAUUUUUAUAUAAUUAAUUAUUUUAUUGGGGUGAUAAAAAAAUUUAUAAAACUUUUUUUGUUUAUAAACAGUGAUAUUUGAUUGAUUGAUCCAUUUAUUGUGAUUAUAAGAUUAAGUUACCUUAGGGAUAACAGCGUAAUUUUUUUGGAGAGUUCUUAUCGAUAAAAAAGAUUGCGACCUCGAUGUUGAAUUAAAGGUUAAUUUUAGGUGCAGAAGUUUAAAAUUUUGGUCUGUUCGACCAUUAAAUC
rnacentral:rRNA from 1 species